UACGUAGGGGGGCAAGCGUUGUCCGGAAUCAUUGGGCGUAAAGCGCGUGUAGGCGGCUCGGUAAGUCCGCUCUGAAAGUCCAGGGCUCAACCCUGGGAUGCGGGGUGGAUACUGCCGGGCUCGAGUCCGGAAGAGGCGAGUGGAAUUCCCCGGUGUAGCGGUGAAAUGCGCAGGAUAUCGGGAGGAACACCAAUGGCGAAGGCAGCUCGCUGGGACGUGACUGACGCUGAGACGCGAAGCGUGGGAGCAACAGG
rnacentral:rRNA from 1 species